AACGCUGAAGAGAGGAGCUUGCUCUUCUUGGAUGAGUUGCGAACGGGUGAGUAACGCGUAGGUAACCUGCCUGGUAGCGGGGGAUAACUAUUGGAAACGAUAGCUAAUACCGCAUGAUAUUAAUUGUCGCAUGAUAAUUAAUUGAAAGAUGCAAUUGCAUCACUACCAGAUGGACCUGCGUUGUAUUAGCUAGUUGGUGAGGUAACGGCUCACCAAGGCGACGAUACAUAGCCGACCUGAGAGGGUGAUCGGCCACACUGGGACUGAGACACGGCCCAGACUCCUACGGGAGGCAGCAGUAGGGAAUCUUCGGCAAUGGGGGGAACCCUGACCGAGCAACGCCGCGUGAGUGAAGAAGGUUUUCGGAUCGUAAAGCUCUGUUGUAAGAGAAGAACGGGUGUGAGAGUGGAAAGUUCACACUGUGACGGUAUCUUACCAGAAAGGGACGGCUAACUACGUGCCAGCAGCCGCGGUAAUACGUAGGUCCCGAGCGUUGUCCGGAUUUAUUGGGCGUAAAGCGAGCGCAGGCGGUUAGAUAAGUCUGAAGUUAAAGGCUGUGGCUUAACCAUAGUAUGCUUUGGAAACUGUUUAACUUGAGUGCAGAAGGGGAGAGUGGAAUUCCAUGUGUAGCGGUGAAAUGCGUAGAUAUAUGGAGGAACACCGGUGGCGAAAGCGGCUCUCUGGUCUGUAACUGACGCUGAGGCUCGAAAGCGUGGGGAGCA
rnacentral:rRNA from 1 species